rnacentral:rRNA from 1 species
UACGUAGGGAGCAAGCGUUGUCCGGAAUCAUUGGGCGUAAAGCGCGCGUAGGUGGCCCGGUAAGUCCGCUCUGAAAGUCACAGGCUCAACCUGUGAAAGCGGGUGGAUACUGCCGGGCUAGAGUCCGGAAGAGGCGAGUGGAAUUCCUGGUGUAGCGGUGGAAUGCGCAGAUAUCAGGAGGAACACCAACGGCGAAGGCAGCUCGCUGGGACGGUACUGACACUGAGGCGCGAAAGCGUGGGGGAGCGAACAGG